rnacentral:sRNA from 1 species
AAUUAUCGUAGAAUCGUUUUUGUAACAAUUCUUUUUCUUUGAACUAUGGUUAGCAUUUUUUUGUUUGUCAACGCCGAAGUCAACUGAUCGGUUUACCGGAAUUGUAUGUUCAUAAUAUUAACCAGAUGACGUCAUAUAGUUCAUAAAUAUGGUCAUGCAAUACAUGUACUUCGUGUAGCUCAAGAUACAAUAUUAUACUUGGUAUAUAUGACAGCGUAAUUCUCUAUAUUUCGUGUAGUUAGCCAUCUUUUUUCCUUUUAUAAAAGAUAACAAAGUAAUUGAAAAUGAAUAUGUUUUUUCCUUUUUUGGCUCAACAACAAUAAUUAUCAUUAAACAACAGAGUUUUACAACUUGUCUAAUUCCACAAACGAUUUUACCCAAUUUGGCACUAUAGAAUACAACUUAGGAUCAUAAUUCUCAAGAGAAAGAGAUUCCUUUGCUAUCCUAUCUGCCACUCCAUUGCCUCCACGAUGCAUGAACACAAACUUUGUUUCCUCAAAAUGCUGAAGCAAGAACUUGAUGUCUUGUAUAAUAGGGUCCAGAGUAGGCAUAUCAUCGUUAUCAACAAGAAUAGACACCAAUUGUUGGGAAUCAGAUUCAAAGAUUACCUUUCGGUAGUUGAGUCGAGAGAGUGACAACACCGCCCAACGCAACGCUUCAGCCUCAGUAACCAAGGCGGAUUGAGCCUUUGGUAUAGCCCUUGCACCCAUCCAAAGCACGUUCUUGUCGGAGUUUCUAAGCACCCAGCAAAUGCCACACUUGUUGCAUUCUGCAUUCCAAACUCCAUCUGAGUUACACUUAACCCACCCAUGUGGGAGUUGCUUCCACUUGAUCACUUGCUUCUCAGAGCUCUCUAUGAGAAAUGUAUAUGUUUAAAAUGAAUAUGUCUGAAAAUGAAUAUUUUUAAAAUGUAGUUUGAGAUGGUUUAAAAAUAUUAGUUAGAAAUAUUUUAAUUUAAAAUAAGACAUUAAAAGAAGUAUUCAAGUUAAAUUACAUUAAAAUUAUUAAAUAACACUAAAAAUACAUUAUAUUGAUGAGAGACACAAAAGUGAACCAAAAAUAAUAA